GGUGUGUGUUCCAGGUAAAUCCGGUUCACUUUAACACUGAGGCGUGACGACGAGGCACUACGGUGCUGAAGCAACAAAUGCCCUGCUUCCAGGAAAAGCCUCUAAGCAUCAGGUAACAUCAAAUCGUACCCCAAACCGACACAGGUGGUCAGGUAGAGAAUACCAAGGCGCUUGAGAGAACUCGGGUGAAGGAACUAGGCAAAAUGGUGCCGUAACUUCGGGAGAAGGCACGCUGACACGUAGGUGAAGUGAUUUACUCAUGGAGCUGAAGUCAGUCGAAGAUACCAGCUGGCUGCAACUGUUUAUUAAAAACACAGCACUGUGCAAACACGAAAGUGGACGUAUACGGUGUGACGCCUGCCCGGUGCCGGAAGGUUAAUUGAUGGGGUCAGCGCAAGCGAAGCUCCUGAUCGAAGCCCCGGUAAACGGCGGCCGUAACUAUAACGGUCCUAAGGUAGCGAAAUUCCUUGUCGGGUAAGUUCCGACCUGCACGAAUGGCGUAAUGAUGGCCAGGCUGUCUCCACCCGAGACUCAGUGAAAUUGAACUCGCUGUGAAGAUGCAGUGUACCCGCGGCAAGACGGAAAGACCCCGUGAACCUUUACUAUAGCUUGACACUGAACAUUGAGCCUUGAUGUGUAGGAUAGGUGGGAGGCUUUGAAGUGUGGACGCCAGUCUGCAUGGAGCCGACCUUGAAAUACCACCCUUUAAUGUUUGAUGUUCUAACGUGGACCCGUUACCCGGGUUGCGGACAGUGUCUGGUGGGUAGUUUGACUGGGGCGGUCUCCUCCUAAAGAGUAACGGAGGAGCACGAAGGUUGGCUAAUCCUGGUCGGACAUCAGGAGGUUAGUGCAAUGGCAUAAGCCAGCUUGACUGCGAGCGUGACGGCGCGAGCAGGUGCGAAAGCAGGUCAUAGUGAUCCGGUGGUUCUGAAUGGAAGGGCCAUCGCUCAACGGAUAAAAGGUACUCCGGGGAUAACAGGCUGAUACCGCCCAAGAGUUCAUAUCGACGGCGGUGUUUGGCACCUCGAUGUCGGCUCAUCACAUCCUGGGGCUGAAGUAGGUCCCAAGGGUAUGGCUGUUCGCCAUUUAAAGUGGUACGCGAGCUGGGUUUAGAACGUCGUGAGACAGUUCGGUCCCUAUCUGCCGUGGGCGCUGGAGAACUGAGGGGGGCUGCUCCUAGUACGAGAGGACCGGAGUGGACGCAUCACUGGUGUUCGGGUUGUCAUGCCAAUGGCACUGCCCGGUAGCUAAAUGCGGAAGAGAUAAGUGCUGAAAGCAUCUAAGCACGAAACUUGCCCCGAG
rnacentral:rRNA from 1 species